rnacentral:rRNA from 1 species
UACAGAGGGUGCGAGCGUUAAUCGGAGUUACUGGGCGUAAAGGGCGCGUAGGCGGUGAGAUGUGUGUGAUGUGAAAGCCCCGGGCUUAACCUGGGAAGAGCAUCGCAAACUAUCUGACUGGAGUAUAAGAGAGGGUGGCGGAAUUUCCGGUGUAGCGGUGAAAUGCGUAGAGAUCGGAAGGAACGUCAAUGGCGAAGGCAGCCACCUGGCUUAAUACUGACGCUGAGGCGCGAAAGCGUGGGGAGCGAACAGG